AAGCUCGUAGUUGAAUUUCGGGGUUAGUAGGUUGGUCAUGCCCCUGGUAUGUACUGGUCUCACUGAUUCCUCCUUCCUUAUGAACCGUAAUGCCAUUAAUUUGGUGUUGCGGGGAAUUUGGACUGUUACUUUGAAAAAAUUAGAGUGUUUAAAGCAAGCUAACGCUUGAAUACAUUAGCAUGGAAUAAUGAAAUAGGACGUUCGAUCUUAUUUUGUUUGGUUUCUAGGAUUGACGUAAUGAUUAAUAGGAUAGUUGGG
rnacentral:rRNA from 1 species